UGGGGAAUCUUGCACAAUGGGGGCAACCCUGAUGCAGCGACGCCGCGUGAGCGAUGAAGCCCUUCGGGGCGUAAAGCUCUUUCGACCGGAACGAUAAUGACGGUACCGGGAGAAUAAGCACCGGCUAACUACGUGCCAGCAGCCGCGGUAAUACGUAGGGUGCAAGCGUUAAUCGGAAUUACUGGGCGUAAAGCGUGCGCAGGCGGUUUUGUAAGACAGAGGUGAAAUCCCCGGGCUCAACCUGGGAACUGCCUUUGUGACUGCAAAGCUGGAGUGCGGCAGAGNGGGAUGGAAUUCCGCGUGUAGCAGUGAAAUGCGUAGAUAUGCGGAGGAACACCGAUGGCGAAGGCAAUCCCCUGGGCCUGCACUGACGCUCAUGCACGAAAGCGUGGGGAGCAAACA
rnacentral:rRNA from 1 species